GGACGAACGCUGGCGGCGUGCUUACCCCAUGCAAGUCGAACGGAAAGGCCCUGCUUUUGUGGGGUGCUCGAGUGGCGAACGGGUGAGUAACACGUGAGUAACCUGCCCUUGACUUUGGGAUAACUUCAGGAAACUGGGGCUAAUACCGGAUAGGAGCUCCUGCUGCAUGGUGGGGGUUGGAAAGUUUCGGCGGUUGGGGAUGGACUCGCGGCUUAUCAGCUUGUUGGUGGGGUAGUGGCUUACCAAGGCUUUGACGGGUAGCCGGCCUGAGAGGGUGACCGGCCACAUUGGGACUGAGAUACGGCCCAGACUCCUACGGGAGGCAGCAGUGGGGAAUAGUGCACAAUGGGCGGAAGCCUGAUGCAGCAACGCCGCGUGCGGGAUGACGGCCUUCGGGUUGUAAACCGCUUUCGCCUGUGACGAAGCGUGAGUGACGGUAAUGGGUAAAGAAGCACCGGCUAACUACGUG
rnacentral:rRNA from 1 species